rnacentral:misc_RNA from 1 species
UCUUCAUUCACAUCCCUCUCCAGACUCUCCAGAUCAUCAUCUUCACGAGCAUAUUUAGCAUAAUCAUUAUGAAGAGUGCGCAUCAAAAUCAUAGACACUAAGCCAGUGAGGAAAAUAACCAUCAUGAAAGAAUUGAACACCGAGAACCAGUGGAUCUGGUGUUCAAAAAAGGGGUAAUCCAAGUAUACAUCAAACCGCCGUUCAUAAGUAAUAUUUGUCGGAACCCAUUUUACAGAGUAUGUCAUGCCUAAGAGUCUUCCUUCCUCCAGUGGCUUUGGGUUCUCUUGAGUUAGGUUGACAUGAAUGAUCUGGUCUUUAUUGUAUUGAAUAAGAAAAUUCUUGUGUGUGUAGAGCACAUGCUUGUUGUCUCGGUUUCUAUCAGGAAGCACUUCGCCCACGAAACCCCAUAAUGGCAAAUCGUCCAUGAAAAAUUCAAACCAAUAUGAACUUUCGAUAGCAUCCUUAAAUUGUGCCACUUUUGCUGCAUCCAAUACAAGUUCGCAGAUUGUGCUUUUCUCCACAUCUCUUUUGAACUUUAUGUCAAUUCGGCUAUCAAUAAGUUCAUUCCCACCAAGAACCUCGCCAAGGCCACCCCACUUGUGACCACCAUCACCAGGAUGACAGAACGGAAGGCUGUAAUAGUUGUACGUCUCUUGUGGAUUAUUAUAGGGUCCAACCUUAUUUACCCAAAGAGUGACAGGUUCAUCCGCUUGAUACUUUGCAAGAGAUGGGUAUGCAAGGAAUAGAGAGAAGAUAACGAAAAUGACGAGAGAUCGAGCAGUAGAGAGCAUUGCUAAACGGAUCUGAAAAUGAAAAAUCGAUUCUAGAAAACGUAUGUAUGGGUUUGUUGUACUUGUGUUUCAGAUUUUAUGAGCUCUCUUCUCUUUUACUCUCUUCUCUUUUUUUACCUACUUCUAUUCUUGACUCAUCUAUUUCUAUCUCCCUCUCCCUAUUUCUCUGUUUUAGUAAGUGUGCAGACUAAUAUGUAACAAAUUGGUAUCAGAGCUGUUAGAUUGGUGGGCAACUACUGAAAAUUUUUUCAUGGGAGUUGCAUCUAUGGCAGAUUACUCUUCUCAAAAUACCAGGUUUCUUCUAUUCUUCUCUCUUCUUCUCUUCUUCCCUCUAAUUCUUCUUCUUCUCUGAAAUUCCUUCCUUCUUUCCCUCUAUUCUUCUUCUUCUUCUUCUUCUUC